UACGUAGGUGGCAAGCGUUGUCCGGAAUUAUUGGGCGUAAAGCGCGCGCAGGCGGUCCUUUAAGUCUGAUGUGAAAGCCCACGGCUCAACCGUGGAGGGUCAUUGGAAACUGGGGGACUUGAGUGCAGAAGAGGAAAGCGGAAUUCCACGUGUAGCGGUGAAAUGCGUAGAGAUGUGGAGGAACACCAGUGGCGAAGGCGGCUUUCUGGUCUGUAACUGACGCUGAGGCGCGAAAGCGUGGGGAUCAAACAGG
rnacentral:rRNA from 1 species